UAUUUUGUAAUAUUCUCUAUCACUUGCUUGGUCUUAAAAUCUUGCCUUUUUCAUAGAUCUGUCAGGUAUACUAUUCUAUGUUCCCGUAAUUUACUUAUUCCUCCUUUACAUUUCAGUCAUUCACCCAUUCUGAAUUUAUCUUGGUGUAAGGUGUGAGAUGUCGAUCUAAACCUAAUCUGUCCCAUUCUGUUUUCCAAUUUUCCCAUCAGUUUUUGUCAAAUAGUGGUGUAAGAUUAAAAUUAAUAUCCCAUAACUCCCAGUAUUAUAUUUUAUAAAAUUUAUUAAUAAUCACUUGAAGUAAAAGAAAUUAAAGGACAAAAGUAAAAGCCUGAGUAAAACCAGCUUUACUAGCCAGGACAAGGGGGAAAAAAAGUCAGACAGUGGAGCUACACAACUUACAUUAGUUCUAUUGGAAUAAUAUUGAGUAUCAAUGAGAUAGAUUUAUACAUAAGUAUUCUAGAAUUUGUCUCAGGAGCUGCAGAAUGGUUGGUGCAGAAGAUUCUGUGGAAUGUUGGAAAGAGGAGAUGUUUAACUGACUUUUUGAGGUGGUUGGUCUUUCUCUGGAUGCGGGAGAAGAGCUAGCUACUUUCUGUCUCUCUGAUAUCAGCCUUGGAGUUGAAGGGAGGGAAAGAAGAUAAAUUCUGGAAGAUCUUGGUCUUUCCUUUCACUACCUUUGGAGACUACUGGGAUUUGAACACAGUUGUUGACUACUGCUAUUCACUAAUUAUUCAAAGUUUAAGAAGUUAUAGAUCUUAUCUUUCACUAAGCUCUGAAAUCAAGAUACAUCCUGAUAACCCAACCUACACAACAUGUAUGAUCUCAUCAUUAUUCUAAAGUACUCUUUAGGAUAUUGGAACCAUUAAUCUUGGAUGCUAACAUCACAGUCUCAAUUGUGCUCAUAGAAGAGAUAGAAAUGUCAGUGAGGAGAACAAUUCAUAUAAAGAAGAUGUGCAUUGGAGAAGAUACAAUUAUGAGGAAUCUGAGAGAAUGACAUACAAGAAAUCCAAAUGAGAAGGCAUGGAAGAUUUUUCAGAUCAUCUUAAUACCAAAAAGGAAAAGAAAAGAAAUAAACAAAAAGAAUACAUGAGGAUCCA
rnacentral:lncRNA from 1 species